GAUGAACGCUGGCGGCGUGCCUAAUACAUGCAAGUCGAGCGAACAGACGAGGAGCUUGCUCCUCUGACGUUAGCGGCGGACGGGUGAGUAACACGUGGAUAACCUACCUAUAAGACUGGGAUAACUUCGGGAAACCGGAGCUAAUACCGGAUAAUAUAUUGAACCGCAUGGUUCAAUAGUGAAAGACGGUUUUGCUGUCACUUAUAGAUGGAUCCGCGCCGCAUUAGCUAGUUGGUAAGGUAACGGCUUACCAAGGCGACGAUGCGUAGCCGACCUGAGAGGGUGAUCGGCCACACUGGAACUGAGACACGGUCCAGACUCCUACGGGAGGCAGCAGUAGGGAAUCUUCCGAAAUGGGCGAAAGCCUGACGGAGCAACGCCGCGUGAGUGAUGAAGGUCUUCGGAUCGUAAAACUCUGUUAUUAGGGAAGAACAAAUGUGUAAGUAACUAUGCACGUCUUGACGGUACCUAAUCAGAAAGCCACGGCUAACUCCGUG
rnacentral:rRNA from 1 species